GAAGGCAGUUGAUCAGGCGCUCUAUACCUUCUGGGUGUUGUGUAUCCUACUGGAGACUGUGUCAAGAAAGAUGUUGCCUCCGCCUUAUGGUGUUUUCAUAGGGCAUCAGAGAAGGCUUUCAGUUAGCUUAGGUUGAUCCGAGGGUUGAUAUGCUUUGGGAUUGGAUAUGCAUCUGUGAAUGGAACUUCAAGGUUCAAAGAAUGUUGAUAUUAACUUAGCUGCACGCCUGCUAUAUCCAGAAGCCACCACCUUUUCGGUCAACAAGCAGAGUCGACUCAGGGAUCCUUAUAGAAGCUGAAGCCACCGCGAGCACUGUAGUAGUGAACACUGAUCUUUGGUAAUGCCAUCUCCUACCCGUUUGGUAAAGGCUCAGGCUCGAGCUAUCUGCUUCUGGAGAUAAUGGAGUACCUGAAGUGGUAGCUGAUCCUCUAGUUUAAGUUUCUAAGACAUAUAAGGAGCUCGGAAUAUGUGUUGUGCAAAAGUGUGCUAAGUUUUGCCGACAAGCUAUCUUAGACCUGCAGUACCUAUUCAAUUUUCUGUCGAGGAAGCGGUCAACGAGCCAACUGCUAUCAUCCCAGAGGUUGCUGAUGACCUUAACCUGGAUUAAGUUGUUACAAGCGUGGAAGCUAUUCAAUGCAAGCAUGUGGACGCAAACCUGCUUGCUUAGUUCAUUCCUUUCUCGGUCAUUUUUUUGCCAUUGUAACUGUAAUAACUUCUAUAUGUGAUUGCAACUCAUGGAAUGACCUGUUUUAGUAAUCCCAGUUUCUUUUGACGGGUUGUUUUAGUAAUCCCAGUUUGUGGUGUUGUGCUAAUUGCUAAAAAUUCGGGAAUACUUCUCUCAUUACUGCUGUAGCCAUUUGGAUUAUAAAAAUUCACACUUUCUUU